rnacentral:pre_miRNA from 1 species
GUACACCCUUCGGUCACUAUUAUAAGCAAAAAUCUACUAUUUAGGUUCAUUUAUUGAAUGAACCUAGAAAGUAAAUUUUUGCUUAUAAUAGUGACUGGAGGGUGUAU